AAGUAAAAAGGUGAUGACGUUCACCGUUAAUCGAGAAAUCUAAUGACGUCUACUUUAUC
rfam:Lactobacillus acidophilus NCFM, complete genome.